GGCACUUGUGUUUUGCCUGCUGAUGGAGAAUGGAGACACUUUUCUUGAUUAUCGCACUUCAUGUGUCAGGAUUCACAGUUCUGGCACUACCUCAAGGUAAACAAU